CAGGGAGACAAACAACGAUUUUGAUGCCUGAGUACUUUUAUUCUUAGGCCGAAAUCCUGUCACCUUAGGUCGAUCGGUACCUCAACUUCAAUCCUGUGAGUCGCAAGACUGCACAACGAUUGAUUUUUAGUUCCUAAACGUUGUCUAGGUCACCCCAUAGAGGGUUCACUUCCUGGGCCAUUAGCUCAGGUGGUUAGAGCGCACCCCUGAUAAGGGUGAGGUCCCUGGUUCAAGUCCAGGAUGGCCCAUUCCAAAAUCCAUUUUGGAUCAUUUGGGGGUUUAGCUCAGUUGGUAGAGCGCCUGCUUUGCAAGCAGGAUGUCAGCGGUUCGAGUCCGCUAACCUCCACUAACACUACUGAACUCCUAAGCCAGGAAGAGCUUCUUGGUUGGUGACUAGACGUUGUUCGCAGAGAAUCCACUGGUUGAUCCAGUCGUAUUCAGCCUCAGCUCAUCUCCGAUAACGGAUUGAACUGAUGCUGAAUUCACUCCUGAAAGGGAGAGGAUUUAGCAGAACCUUGACAACUGCAUAGGUGAGUCUGGAAAGACAAAAGCAUCUCAUAGAGAUCAGAACGUCUUUCGCCGCAAGGCGAUUGAUGAACUGAUUAUUCUAUUUUUGAGAGCCGAGACCUUCUAGCGUUCUUCCCAAUCCGCCGAGGAGCGGGGAGUUUGAUCCUUGUUUCUAACUGGAGCAGCAAUGCUUUAAGAGAAACUUGAGAGAAUGGGCCUCAACGGCCUGAAGCGUUAGGAGGAUUAAU
rnacentral:tRNA from 1 species